UUAUCUGUGUUCUGUUGUAGGGCUGGGUAUCUACUGUAUAAGGGGGAGUUAUCUGUGUUCUGUUGUAGGGCUGGGUAUCUACUGUAUAAGGGUGAGUUAUCUGUGUUCUGUUGUAGGGCUGGGUAUCUACUGUAUAAGGGGGAGUUAUCUGUGUUCUGUUGUAGGGCUGGGUAUCUACUGUAUAAGGGUGAGUUAUCUGUGUUCUGUUGUAGGGCAGGGCUGGGUAUCUACUGUAUAAGGGUGAGUUAUCUGUGUUCUGUUGUAGGGCAGGGCUGGGUAUCUACUGUAUAAGGGGGAGUUAUCUGUGUUCUGUUGUAGGGCUGGGUAUCUACUGUAUAAGGGGGAGUUAUCUGUGUUCUGUUGUAGGGCUGGGUAUCUACUGUAUAAGGGGGAGUUAUCUGUGUUCUGUUGUAGGGCUGGGUAUCUACUGUAUAAGGGGGAGUUAUCUGUGUUCUGUUGUAGGGCUGGGUAUCUACUGUAUAAGGGUGAGUUAUCUGUGUUCUGUUGUAGGGCUGGGUAUCUACUGUAUAAGGGUGAGUUAUCUGUGUUCUGUUGUAGGGCUGGGUAUCUACUGUA